AACGCACAUUGCGCCUCCUGGCAUUCCGGGAGGCACGCCUGUUCGAGCGCCAUUACACACUCCAAGCGAAGCUUGAUGUUGGACGAUGCGAGGCUAAGCGCACGUCUGGAACGCGUGGGCGUCCGUCUGUCGAGACACCGCGAGCGUAGCAAGAUUUCCUGUGGAUAUCAUUCGCUUGAACGGGACUCCAGAGGGGCGGCCUCAAAUGUUGACACGGAUGUUUCGUGUGCAACGUCUUGAUAGUUUGGCCUCGGAUCAGGCGGGGAUACCCGCUGAACUUAA
rnacentral:misc_RNA from 1 species